rnacentral:lncRNA from 1 species
CCCGCACAGUGUGUAUAGGGUCCCGUAUUUCUUUUUUUACUAUUAGUAGACUAGAUUAGUAGUCUGAUUAAAAUACUCAAUUCACGAUAACCGGUUCAAUAUUUACUGAUGGAAUUAAUUUAACAGCAAAAUGUUACAUUCUGUUAUUCAGACCGACUGUUUAUUAAUAAAUCUCUGUUAUUUUCCGAUUUAACUCUUAUACUACUCAUACACUUAACAAGCAUGCAGAUUAUGUAAGCAAUGUGCUGUAUAAUAUUUCGAUUAUGUCAACACCAAUAACAAAAAAUCAAAGAAUUUGAUCAUCUAAUCCAAU